UGCAUACAAAUAAGCGGAGGAAAAGAAACCAACAGGGAUUGCCUCAGUAGCGGCGAGUGAAGCGGCAAAAGCUCAAAUUUGAAAUCUGGCGUCUUUGGCGUCCGAGUUGUAAUUUGAAGAAGGUAUCUUUGGGCCCGGCUCUUGUCUAUGUUCCUUGGAACAGGACGUCACAGAGGGUGAGAAUCCCGUGCGAUGAGAUGGCCCGGGUCUAUGUAAAGUUCCUUCGACGAGUCGAGUUGUUUGGGAAUGCAGCUCUAAGUGGGUGGUAAAUUCCAUCUAAAGCUAAAUAUUGGCGAGAGACCGAUAGCGAACAAGUACAGUGAUGGAAAGAUGAAAAGAACUUUGAAAAGAGAGUGAAAAAGUACGUGAAAUUGUUGAAAGGGAAGGGCUUGAGAUCAGACUUGGUAUUUUGCAAGUUUCUCUUUCGGGGGUGGCCUCUGCGGUUUUCCGGGCCAGCAUCGGUUUGGAGCGGUAGGAUAAUGGCGGGGGAAUGUGGCACGACUUUGGUUGUGUGUUUUAGCCUCUGACGAUACUGCCAGCCUAGACCGAGGACUGCGGUUUUUUCCUAGGAUGUUGGCAUAAUGAUCUUUAGUCGCCCGUCUUGAACCAACGGGACC
rnacentral:rRNA from 1 species